CACCAUUAGAAUCAGAUAACAAGUCAGAAGAAAACGACGUUAUAUAUACACUACAUCAAUCGACUUAAAGUAAGCCUGCGCAAAGUCAUUUUUAUCUUUUGAUAUUUUUAUCUGUUGUUAAAUUGGUGAAUCAAAGCUGUAAUAAUAAUAAUAAUUGCCGUGGUAGAGUUGUAUUUCAUUAUAACUACGUGUACAGUGUUACAAGCAAGCACUUCUAAUUGCAUAAAUAGGGCAAUAAGAGAUUUCGUUGUUUUUCAUUCAUUUUUGUUGGAAUCUUUUUCUGCUUUAAACCGGGAAUUUUAGUUCGUGAAGAACAAAGAGUGAAUUUUUCUUAAGAUCAUUCAAAACUUCAAUUGUUCUAAAAAACUUUGCAAAAACACCUCGACAGCCGAGAAAUAAAACAAAUCAACAUCGAAAAUGGUCAACCGAUGCUGUUCAAUCCUCUUAUGUUUGCUACUGCCACCACUAGCAGUUUGUAUGGACAGAGGUUGCGGAUGCGAUACCCUGAUCAAUAUUUUACUUUGCGUUUUUGGACUGUGGAUUGGUGGAAUCAUUCAUGCGUUCUGCGUAACAAAUUCAUUGGGCAGACAUGAUUGAAUCAAGUGAAUCGAAAACACAUUUUUUUUGUAUUAAUUCAUAAAAACAGACGUACAGAGUGUCAACAUUGUCUCAAAUUUGAAAAUAAAAAUUGCUUUGAAUAACCG